rnacentral:rRNA from 1 species
AUUGAACGCUGGCGGCAUGCCUUACACAUGCAAGUCGAACGGCAGCACGGGAGCAAUCCUGGUGGCGAGUGGCGAACGGGUGAGUAAUAUAUCGGAACGUGCCCAGUCGUGGGGGAUAACGUAGCAAAAGCUACGCUAAUACCGCAUACGAUCUAUGGAUGAAAGCGGGGGAUCGCAAGACCUCGCGCGAUUGGAGCGGCCGAUAUCAGAUUAGGUAGUUGGUGAGGUAAAGGCUCACCAAGCCGACGAUCUGUAGCUGGUCUGAGAGGACGACCAGCCACACUGGGACUGAGACACGGCCCAGACUCCUACGGGAGGCAGCAGUGGGGAAUUUUUGGACAAUGGGCGCAAGCCUGAUCCAGCAAUGCCGCGUGCAGGAUGAAGGCCUUCGGGUUGGUU